rnacentral:rRNA from 1 species
UGAAUACGAGACGCUACGGCGUCGAAGCAGUCUAUGUCAUACUUCCAAGGAAAGCUCGCAAUGUCAUAAACAAAUAAUGCCUGUACCAUAACCGACACAGGUGGGUAGGUAGAGUAUACUAAGGGGCGCGAGAUAACUCUCUCUAAGGAACUCGGCAAAAUGACUCCGUAACUUCGGGAGAAGGAGUGCCUUAUUUAUAAGGUUGCAAUAACAAGAUCCAAGCAACUGUUUAUCAAAAACACAGGUCUCCGCUAAGUCGUAAGACGAUGUAUGGGGGCUGACGCCUGCCCAGUGCCAGAAGGUUAAAGAAGUUGGUUAGCAUUCGCGAAGCCGAUAACUGAAGCCCUGGUGAACGGCGGCCGUAACUAUAACGGUCCUAAGGUAGCGAAAUUCCUUGUCGGGUAAGUUCCGACCCGCACGAAAGGCGUAAUGAUUUGGAUACUGUCUCGGAGAGGGGCUCGGUGAAAUAGACUUGUCUGUGAAGAUGCGGACUACCUGCACCUGGACAGAAAGACCCUAUGAAGCUUUACUGUAACUUGAAAUUGAAAUUGGACUUUAUUUGCGCAGCAUAGGUGGGAGGCGUUGAGAGUAUUCUUGCGGGAAUAUUGGAGCCAUCAGUGAGAUACCACUCUUGUAAUGUUAGAUUUCUAACUUUGUAUCAUUAUCUGGUCAAAGAACAGUUUCAGGCGGGCAGUUUGACUGGGGCGGUCGCCUCCCAAACGGUAACGGAGGCGUACAAAGGUUUCCUCUGAACGGGUAGAAAUCGUAUCUAGAGUGUAAAGGCAUAAGGAAGCUUGACUGUGAGACCUACAAGUCGAGCAGGGACGAAAGUCGGUCUUAGUGAUCUGACGGUGCUGAGUGGAAGGGCCGUCACUCAACGGAUAAAAGUUACUCUAAGGAUAACAGGCUGAUCUCCCCCAAGAGUUCACAUCGACGGGGAGGUUUGGCACCUCGAUGUCGGCUCAUCGCAUCCUGGGGCGGUAGUACGUCCCAAGGGUUGGGCUGUUCGCCCAUGAAGGCGGUACGCGAGCUGGGUUCAGAACGUCGUGAGACAGUUCGGUCCAUAUCCGGUGUAGGCGUUAGAAUAUUGAGAGGAGCCUUCUUUAGUACGAGAGGACCGAGAAGGACAUACCUCUGGUGUACCAGUUAUCGUGCCAACGGUAAACGCUGGGUAGCUAUGUAUGGAGAGGAUAACCGCUGAAAGCAUCUAAGUGGGAAGCCCACCUCAAGAUAAG